GACUUCUUUUCGAACCUCAGUGUCAGUAUCAGUCCAGGUGGUCGCCUUCGCCACUGGUGUUCCUUCCUAUAUCUACGCAUUUCACCGCUACACAGGAAAUUCCACCACCCUCUACCGUACUCUAGUCAGGCAGUUAUGGAUGCAGUUCCCAGGUUGAGCCCGGGGAUUUCACAUCCAUCUUACCAAACCACCUACGCGCGCUUUACGCCCAGUAAUUCCGAUUAACGCUUGCACCCUUCGUAUUACCGCGGCUGCUGGCACGAAGUUAGCCGGUGCUUAUUCUGUUGGUAACGUCAAAACAGCAAGGUAUUAACUUACUGCCCUUCCUCCCAACUUAAAGUGCUUUACAAUCCGAAGACCUUCUUCACACACGCGGCAUGGCUGGAUCAGGCUUUCGCCCAUUGUCCAAUAUUCCCCACUGCUGCCUC
rnacentral:rRNA from 1 species